rnacentral:rRNA from 1 species
GACGAACGCUGGCGGCGUGCUUAACACGUGCCAGUCGAACGCUGAAGCUUGGUGCUUGCACUGGGUGGAUGAGUGGCGAACGGGUGAGUAAUACGUGAGUAACCUGCCCUUGACUCUGGGAUAAGCCUGGGAAACUGGGUCUAAUACUGGAUACGACAUGUCACCGCAUGGUGGUGUGUGGAAAGGGUUUUACUGGUUUUGGAUGGGCUCACGGCCUAUCAGCUUGUUGGUGGGGUAAUGGCUCACCAAGGCGACGACGGGUAGCCGGCCUGAGAGGGUGACCGGCCACACUGGGACUGAGACACGGCCCAGACUCCUACGGGAGGCAGCAGUGGGGAAUAUUGCACAAUGGGCGGAAGCCUGAUGCAGCGACGCCGCGUGAGGGAUGACGGCCUUCGGGUUGUAAACCUCUUUCAGCACGGAAGAAGCGAAAGUGACGGUACGUGCAGAAGAAGCGCCGGCUAACUACGUG